rnacentral:rRNA from 1 species
UUUCCGGUUGAUCCAGCCAGAGGCCAUUGCUAUCGGGGUCCGACUUAGCCAUGCUAGUUGUACGAGCUCAAACUCGUAGCAAAUAGCUCCGUAACACGUGGCCAAACCACCCUACAGAGGACCAUAACCUCGGGAAACUGAGGCUAAUAGCCCAUACCCGUCCCACGCUGGAAUGCCGGGACGCGCAAACGCUUUUCGCGCUGUAGGACGUGGCUGCGGCCGAUUAGGUAGACGGUGGGGUAACGGCCCACCGUGCCGAUAAUCGGUACGGGUUGUGAGAGCAAGAGCCCGGAGACGGAAUCUGAGACAAGAUUCCGGGCCCUACGGGGCGCAGCAGGCGCGAAACCUUUACACUGCACGCAAGUGCGAUAAGGGGACCCCGAGUGCGAGGGCAUACAGUCCUCGCUUUUCACUACCGUAAGGUGGUAGUGGAAUAAGAGCUGGGCAAGACCGGUGCCAGCCGCCGCGGUAAUACCGGCAGCUCGAGUGAUGGCCGAUCUUAUUGGGCCUAAAGCGUUCGUAGCCGGCCACGCAAGUCUACCGGGAAAUCCGCCAGCCCAACUGGCGGGCGUCCGGUAGAAACUGUGUGGCUUGGGACCGGAAGACCCGAAGGGUACGUCUUGGGUAGGAGUGAAAUCCCGUAAUCCUGGACGGACCGCCGAUGGCGAAAGCACUUCGGGAAGACGGAUCCGACGGUGAGGGACGAAAGCCAAGGUCUCGAACCGGAUUAGAUACCCGGGUAGUCCUGGCCGUAAACGAUGUCUGCUAGGUGUGGCUCCCGCUACGAGCGGGUGCUGUGCCGUAGGGAAGCCGCUAAGCAGACCGCCUGGGAAGUACGUCCGCAAGGAUGAAACUUAAAGGAAUUGGCGGGGGAGCACUACAACCGGAGGAGCCUGCGGUUUAAUUGGAUUCAACGCCGGA